UGGGGAAUAUUGGGCAAUGGGCGCAAGCCUGACCCAGCAACGCCGCGUGAAGGAUGAAGGUUUUCGGAUCGUAAACUUCUUUGAUCGGGGACGAAAUUGACGGUACCCGAGGAACAAGCCACGGCUAACUACGUGCCAGCAGCCGCGGUAAUACGUAGGUGGCAAGCGUUAUCCGGAAUUACUGGGCGUAAAGGGCGUGUAGGCGGGCAGCCAAGUCGGGAGUGAAAUCCCAGGGCUUAACCCUGGAGCUGCUUCCGAAACUGUCUUUCUUGAGUGUCGGAGAGGAAAGUGGAAUUCCCAGUAUAGCGGUGAAAUGCGUAGAGACUGGGAGCAACACCAGUGGCGAAGGCGACUUUCUGGACGAUAACUGACGCUGAGGCGCGAAAGCGUGGGGAGCAAACA
rnacentral:rRNA from 1 species